CUUCUUCUCUGAGAAAAGGAGUUUACGACCCACAGGCUUUCAUCCUCCACGCGGCAUUGCUCCGUCAGGCUUUCGCCCAU
rnacentral:rRNA from 1 species